GAUGAACGCUAGCUACAGGCUUAACACAUGCAAGUCGAGGGGAAACGACAUCGAAAGCUUGCUUUUGAUGGGCGUCGACCGGCGCACGGGUGAGUAACGCGUAUCCAACCUGCCCACCACUUGGGGAUAACCUUGCGAAAGUAAGACUAAUACCCAAUGACGUCUCUAGAAGACAUCUGAAAGGGAUUAAAGAUUUAUCGGUGAUGGAUGGGGAUGCGUCUGAUUAGCUUGUUGGCGGGGUAACGGCCCACCAAGGCAACGAUCAGUAGGGGUUCUGAGAGGAAGGUCCCCCCACAUUGGAACUGAGACACGGUCCAAAACUCCUACGGGAGGCAGCAGUGAGGAAUAUUGGGUCCAAAUGGGCGAGAGCCUGAACCAGCCAAGUAGCGUGCAGGAAGAGGCCCUAUGGGUUGUAAACUGCUUUUAUAAGGGAUAAAGUGAG
rnacentral:rRNA from 1 species